UAGAGUGAUUACACAUACAAGUGGUCUUGCUUCUUCUAUGGUUUUAAAACUGCAAAUAAAGAUUUGCUUCGCAGGAGAGAUAGCGCCAUCACCUCUUCUAAGAAGUUAACUAGUGGUGACGGUAUCUCUCCUACGUAGCAAUCCUUAUAUAUGCAUCUUAAUACGGAGAGAUCAAGGUAUUUCAGUUGUUCAAUAAUCACCCUCUA